rnacentral:misc_RNA from 1 species
GUCAAUAUUGGAGCGCUGCUCCUUGCUGCUACUUCCAUGCCCAAAAUCAGUAGGCAGCAUUUCUUGAGGCACCUUUUCAUCAGCUGCAUUAUGGGGGGCGUUGGUAGCUUCAUGAGUAUUGUUACUUUCUGCAGGGACUUCUUGAUCAAUGUCAUUCAACACAGGAACAAGAUUGUGAUUGUUUGGAGAGUGAAACUGCAUCUGGGAGGCCGUUGGAAGACCAGGAGAGAGGCUGGGUGGGAAGUGAUCAUUGCGAUGUUGAUUCUUCAGGUCCAGCAGUUGCAAAUUCAUUAACCUUCUGCCUUGAAGUUCGAUGGCUUGCUGUAAUUCAGCCUCCUGCUCUAUUUUUCUUCUCAACAUCAUCUCAUGUGAAUUAUAUAACAUUCUUGCUCCAAAGGGAAGGUCAAACGGCUCCCUAGAUUCAAGAGCUGAUGGGCUUAAACAGGUCGACAGAUCUCCUCUAUCAAUUGGAUGUUGUUGUUGCUGAAGCUGCUUCUUAUCCGCGAUUUUUCCCUUUUCUUUGUAGGGCUUUACAAGUACCCGAGAAUCACACACAAAAUGUGGGUUUCCUUUAGCCAAGAUCAUCUUAACAGUUUCAGAGUAGAUAAAUGUAACGAAUCCAAACAUUCGCUUCUGCUGA